UCAUUUUAUCUUUUCGUCUUGCCGCGAAGCCUACCCCUGUUCUUCUGCCCUGGUCCUCUCCAUCCUCGAAAUGAUGGUUGACGCUCAAGCUGGGAUAUAAUAGCCAAUACUUGUUGGGAACAUCCAAAAUAUCAGAGCUGCUUCUGCCUUAGAAAGCUUAAAUAACUUGCCACACGUCUUGGACUUGAAGCUGAUUUCAUCCAGGUCAUUUGGUUUAUGAACCCCAGCGGUUGCUGCAAGGCCCAAUUCUUUUCUUCUUCAUUAAUGGUUCCAUGGUUCAUUCUUCUCUUUUACUCAGUUGCCUGAAGACCUGACUAAAUUCAACCCUGUGGCUGAAUUGAGUUGAGUACAACAGACAGAAGGAACCCCGUUCAAGGCUUAUUUCAGCUGCCAGCAACCCCCUUUGCCAAGGGAAAGGAGAAGGUGGCUUAGUCACUUCCCAAGAAAGCUCCUCUAUCCUCAAAAAGGCACACUUCUAACACAGGCAGAACUGGGUUGCGUCUAAAUCUAGCAUCUCUCCUUUGGAAGACUCUUGGAUCAUGGUGUGGUUAUUUGUGGAGUAAGACGUCUGGAUUAGACACUUCCAAGGCCCACCUGGACUUCAGCGGGUGCUCCUGCGUCUUGGCCAUGCUGGGCUCUCUGGAGGGCUGGGCUCUCCGGUGAGCCUGGAGGCAGUUAGACUGUCCUGUCUCUACCACAGAAGAGCUGUCACCAGCAGAGAGAUCCUCGAAGCAGCCAAGCAGACAUCCUCUUGGAAGAGCAUUUGAAUAAAUGCAGCACUUCUGAUCGGCCCUGUUGUAGAGAUGGGCGUACUUGUCAAAAAAUAAAUAAUAAGUUCAUAAAGGCUACAUUGCAGGCUAGGUUGGAAGAAGAGAGGUCCCUGCUGUGCCAGUCGCUAUACCACCUGCCUGGUCUCCGGGUUCUGUCUGUGUUGUUUUCCUCUGACUUAAUUUGUGACAAAAAGGAAGGCCUUUUCUAACAAAAAUAAUGAACAAC